UACGGAGGGUGCAAGCGUUAUCCGGAUUCACUGGGUUUAAAGGGUGCGUAGGUGGAGUGGUAAGUCAGUGGUGAAAUCUCCAAGCUUAACUUGGAAACUGCCGCUGAUACUAUCAUUCUUGAAUAUCGUGGAGGUAAGCGGAAUAUGUCAUGUAGCGGUGAAAUGCUUAGAUAUGACAUAGAACACCGAUUGCGAAGGCAGCUUGCUACACGAUCAUUGACACUGAGGCACGAAAGCGUGGGGAUCAAACAGG
rnacentral:rRNA from 1 species